ACCUGAGCUGAGACAACCACAGUCGAGGAGCUACCUGAGCUGAGAGAAGCAUAGCCGAGGAGAUAGCUGUCAUUUCGUCAAAUCAACACAUAUAUGAGCUGUCGAACGGAAUCAUUUGAUGAAUAUAUAAGCUCAGUAUAUAUUAUAAAUAGACAUUUUAAUGAAUUACGUAAAUAUGAUUCUGUUUCUUUAGAAGAAAUGGCGAGAAUACAAAGUUAUCAUUGUGAACUAACUGAACUAUUGGAGAUGCAUCAGCAAUUAUUGGACCAGUCAGCAGAAAAAGGAUGGACAAAUAUGAAAUAUCUAACAUUUGUGAGAGACUAUGAAAAAUUAGGAGUUUGGCAUAGUGAUAACUAUAAUCAUAUUUCAAUUUGUGAUUUAUACAGUACAUCAUAUGAUGCUUACAGGGGAAAAGAUUGCCCCGAUUCAUGGAGAUGUGAUUGUGCACAUCUUAAAGAGUCUAUCGAUAAAAUUAAAAAAUGUAUAACAG